GACGAACGCUGGCGGCGUGCUUAACACAUGCAAGUCGAACGGAAAGGCCCUGCUUGCAGGGUACUCGAGUGGCGAACGGGUGAGUAACACGUGGGUGAUCUGCCCUGCACUUCGGGAUAAGCCUGGGAAACUGGGUCUAAUACCGGAUAGGAGCCAUUUUUAGUGUGAUGGUUGGAAAGUUUUUUCGGUGUAGGAUGAGCUCGCGGCCUAUCAGCUUGUUGGUGGGGUAAUGGCCUACCAAGGCAGCGACGGGUAGCCGGCCUGAGAGGGUGGACGGCCACAUUGGGACUGAGAUACGGCCCAGACUCCUACGGGAGGCAGCAGUGGGGAAUAUUGCACAAUGGGCGCAAGCCUGAUGCAGCGACGCCGCGUGGGGGAUGACGGCCUUCGGGUUGUAAACUCCUUUCGCUAGGGACGAAGCUUUUUGUGACGGUACCUAGAUAAGAAGCACCGGCUAACUACGUG
rnacentral:rRNA from 1 species